rnacentral:rRNA from 1 species
GGGAAUCUGCCCUUGGGUUCGGGAUAACAGUGAGAAAUUACUGCUAAUACCGGAUGAUGACUUCGGUCCAAAGAUUUAUCGCCCAGGGAUGAGCCCGCGUAGGAUUAGCUAGUUGGUGGGGUAAAGGCCUACCAAGGCGACGAUCCUUAGCUGGUCUGAGAGGAUGAUCAGCCACACUGGGACUGAGACACGGCCCAGACUCCUACGGGAGGCAGCAGUGGGGAAUAUUGGACAAUGGGCGAAAGCCUGAUCCAGCAAUGCCGCGUGAGUGAUGAAGGCCUUAGGGUUGUAAAGCUCUUUUACCCGGGAAGAUAAUGACUGUACCGGGAGAAUAAGCUCCGGCUAACUCCGUGCCAGCAGCCGCGGUAAUACGGAGGGAGCUAGCGUUGUUCGGAAUUACUGGGCGUAAAGCGCACGUAGGCGGCUUUGUAAGUUAGAGGUGAAAGCCUGGAGCUCAACUCCAGAACUGCCUUUAAGACUGCAUCGCUCGAAUCCAGGAGAGGUGAGUGGAAUUCCGAGU